rnacentral:rRNA from 1 species
AGAGUUUGAUCAUGGCUCAGAACGUACGCUGGCGGCACGCCUAACACAUGCAAGUCGAACGCAGUAGCAAUACUGAGUGGCAAACGGGUGAGUAUAAUGUGGGAAUCUGCCUUUUGGUUUGGAAUAACACGGGGAAACUUGUGCUAAUACCGAAUAAGCCCUUACGGGGAAAGUUUUAACGCCGAAAGAUGAGCCCGCACUUGAUUAGCUAGUUGGUAAGGUAAAAGCUUACCAAGGCAACGAUCAAUAGCUGUUCUUAGAGGAAGACCAGCCACAUUGGGACUGAGACACGGCCCAGACUCCUACGGGAGGCAGCAGUGGGGAAUCUUGCACAAUGGGGGAAACCCUGAUGCAGCGAUGCCGCGUGAGUGAAGAAGGCCCUUGGGUUGUAAAACUCUUUCGUCGGGGAAGAAAAUGACUGUACCCGAAUAAGAAGGUCCGGCUAACUUCGUGCCAGCAGCCGCGGUAAUACGAAGGGACCUAGCGUAGUUCGGAAUUACUGGGCUUAAAGAGCUCGUAGGUGGUUAAAAAAGUUGAUGGUGAAAUCCCAAGGCUCAACCUUGGAACUGCCAUCAAAACUUUUUAGCUAGAGUGUGAUAGAGGUAAGUGGAAUUUCUAGUGUAGAGGUGAAAUUCGUAGAUAUUAGAAAGAACACCAAAUGCGAAGGCAACUUACUGGGUCACUACUGACACUGAGGAGCGAAAGCAUGGGUAGCGAAGAGGAUUAGAUACCCUCGUAGUCCAUGCCGUAAACGAUGUGUGCUAGACGUUGGAAAUAUAUUUUUCAGUGUCGCAGCGAAAGCAUUAAGCACACCGCCUGGGGAGUACGACCGC